rnacentral:rRNA from 1 species
UGGAAGUAAAAGUCGUAACAAGGUCUCCGUUGGUGAACCAGCGGAGGGAUCAUUACCGAGUUUACAACUCCCCAACCCUAUGUGAACAUACCUUCUGUUGCCUCGGCGGGGCAGCCCCGACCGCCCUGUGCGCCGGAACCAGGCCCCCGCCGCAGGACCUUGACUCUUCAGUAUUUGUAUUCUUCUGAGUGGCUGCAAAGCAACAAAAUAAGUAAAAACUUUCAACAACGGAUCUCUUGGUUCUGGCAUCGAUGAAGAACGCAGCGAAAUGCGAUAAGUAAUGUGAAUUGCAGAAUUCAGUGAACCAUCGAAUCUUUGAACGCACAUUGCGCCCGCCAGUACUCUGGCGGGCAUGCCUGUCCGAGCGUCAUUUCAACCCCUCAGGCCCUGCCUGGUGUUGGGGAUCAGCGCCAUGGUCGUCCCCUGUGGGCGGCGCGUGCUGUCCCUGAAAUACAGUGGCGGUCUCGCUGCACCCUUCUGUGCGUGGUAAGCAACAUGCUUCGCACCGGGAGAUGCGCGUGGCCACGCCGUAAAACCCCCCAACUUUUAAAGGUUGACCUCGGAUCAGGUAGGAAUACCCGCUGAACUUAAGCAUAUCAAUAAG